UUUUGGAAUGAGAUGUUUGACGAGCAGGUGUCCACAUACUUUUGGUCAUGUAGUGUAGUUUGUCAUAAGAAGGUGACAGUUGUCGUAUUCCUUGACUGUCUGUGGUGUAACUCCUUCCAAACCCACCUAUCAAGAGGUGCUGACUGAUGUGGAGGAGAGGAGCCACAAAAGGCAACAGGAAUACAACACGUUCUGCCAGCAGACGAAAAAGGAGAUAGCUGACAUCCACAGAGAUCGACUCAUCCACAACAUGGAACUCAACAGGAUGAAGAAAGAGAUUUUCAGUGACCGAAUGGAGGUGAAGAUCGCCAGCGAGGGAAUCAUGAAUAAAUGGAACCACCCCCCGUACCGCCAGCGUCUGCAGAAGGGAGAGGGGAAAGAGAGGAAAGAGGAGUCAGAGGAGGUGAAGAAUACAAACCAACCUUCUGUUUCUCCAGAAAACCAAAAGACAGCUGGACAAUGACACUGCAACUUUCAGCACAGUGUCUCUCUCUCCCUCUCUCUCUCUCUUUCUCUUUAUGCCACUCAGAUCUACAGAACAUGAUGUCAGUGUUUUGUGCUACAUUAAUAUAUAUUUUACAUUUGUUUUCAUUGAAAUUCACCCAGAUUAUUUAAAUGCCAAUCUUCACACUUCACUAUCUAAAUCACACUGUGAUUUUUUCCCUUCAGUCUGAUCUCCCUUUCUCAGACGCUUACUUGAAACAGUGUGUGUGUGUGUGUCGGGCCAGAGCAGGGCCAGUGUGUUUUAUGACAGGCUCAUGUCCUGCCUGAGUGAAGUCAUGAAGGCUCAUCACAGAAACAUAUUACCUCUCAGAGACUCACAGCACACCAGAGAAGAGAG